rnacentral:tRNA from 1 species
GCUUUUAAAGGAUAAUAGACAUCCACUGGCCUUAGGAGC